CAUAAUUAGAAAAGUAUCACCAUUUUCCUGGGACAAAAAUAUGUAAGUUUAAACAUUUUUAGUGCCAGGUCAGUAGUCACGAUUUACCAACAGCAUUUUUUAUUUUAAAAAUACAGUUAGUGACUACACCAUUGGCUAACAAACUGAGACUUAAAGCAUUCUCUAGAUGCAAAUGCUACAAAUAAAUCAAAUUAUUAGGCAUAUUCACUAAUACUUACAAACUUAACUUCAUAUAUAAAGCAAGGUAGAUCACCAGUGUGGCCAUGCAAACAGGGUUUGAGGACUUCAAUAUUUAAAGCAAGUUAGUCCAACCCACAGCCCAAGGGCCACAUGCAGCCCAGGAUGGCUUUGAAUGAGGCCCAACACAAAUUAGCAAAUUACUAAACUUACUUAAAAUGAUGGGAUUUUAUUUUUUGCCAUUUUUUGGUUUGUGUGUUUGGUUUUUAGCUCAUCAGCUUUGUUAGUGUUAGUGUAUUUUAUGUGUGGCCCAAGACAAUACUUCCAAUGUGGCCCAGGGAAGCCAAAAGAUUGGACACUCCUGAUUUAAAGGGAAAAGGGAGGGCAGAUGAAGAAAGAGGAUAAAAAAAAGAGAGAGAAGGUAGACAAAACAGGAAAGUGGUUAGUCUUUGGAGGCUUUGAUUAGCACUUACUGAAUCUACAUUUUACAUGUGAAAGGAGUGGGUAGCGAAACAGUGAAUUAUGCAUAGUGCUCAGUGCGUCUGCAUUUUUGCAUAAGAUAAAGUAAACAUAGAGGAGGUGCUCAAAUAUGCAUUCCUCUCAGGUGAGCCAAGGGAUGCCCUCUAGGCCUGUCUUUGUCAAGGUACCGGUGAAGAUAAGCUGUUAGUUUACAUUGUCAAGGUGAAAUAGAACAGCGUUCUGUUUUAGGGUAAAGCUCUUGGGGCCCACGAGGAAUUUCCUUGUGAGCAAUUUGUGAAGGAGGCCACCGGGGGAGACAUGUGGCCUUCUGUCUUUGCAGCUAUCUACUUAGGAACAAAAUGGAAGGCAGUUUUUGCAUGAUGCAGUUACUGAGCUUCACUUUUCCCUUUGGCAUAGUGAGUUUGGGGUCCUGAGAUUUUUAUAUUCCUUUCACAGCCUCACUAUACUUGAAUUAAAAUACAAUCUACAUGUUAAAACUGACCACAUCAUUCUUUCCUGUGUGUCUUCAAAGGAUUUAAGGCCCAUCCAGAUAAUCCAAGAUGAUCUCAUUUCAAAGCCUUAAUUAUAUCUUUGAUGACUCUUUUUCCAAAUAAGGUCUCAAUUAGAGGUUCCUGGAAUAAGACACGGACUCAUCUCCCUGGGGGCCACCAUUCAGCCUGAUCCGGAAGGAAGGCCAUGAUUUCAGCUCUCUGGGAUUUGAGACAAAGAGGCCCCUUUUCUUUCAUUUUAUCUUUUCAUGUCUCUUCUUGCCAUGUACCCACAUGAUUGAGUGUGGGCUGAGGGUGAAUCCAAGAAGGGCUUUGUUUUGUGGUCAGUACAGGCUUUGGUCCACAGAGACAACAAUACUUUCAAUACUCUUUUGUUCUGCCCCAGAGGAGCUCAACACAGAAUUGCCUAGAACAAGAAACUGGUGAGAGAAGCUGCAGCCUGUUGAGACUCCACAAGACUGAAGAUAUGAAAAGAGGAAAUAUGCAUGAAUGCCCGCACGGAGAACCACCCCCACCUGCUGCUCCCGCUCUAAUGAUCACGCCCAUUAUCAACUGGGGGAUGGCUCUGUGCCUUGUCCUUGCAUUACAUGGACCAAGAACACUUCACAGGACUCAGAGAGGCAAAAAUAGAUACAAAAGAAGAAGGAAUUACAGAAGAAGUCACAUAACAUUAUUGCCUACAACUGACUGUUUACCUUGAAUACUUGAAGACCAGAAUGAAGAUUCUUGGGGUGAAGAAUUACAGCCUUAGCAUGGAGCAGGCCUCGGUGCAUCGGCUUUCAGCUAGGCAUGCCUGCCAAUGUUCAACGUCCUCCUGGGAUACGGAAGGCACCGUGAUAGACAUCUGGGCAAGUCAACAGGAAGGUGGAUAUCCAAAUCUCUCUCUUCGCAAUGAGUUUCCAGUUAGAUGGAGGAGAGAGUAAUAAAACACAGAGCUGAGAUUCCUGACUUCACAGAUCCCUGAGGAGAUGUUUACUAAAGGGAAUCUUCUGGUCACUGUUACCUUCCUCCGUACUUACCUGCCUCAUGGAGAACCCGAAAGGAAGAAGCUAUACGACUGGGGACACAUGUCUUAGAAGCACACUCAUUAGAUAAAGUGUCGCAUACUCUUUGAUAAGACAACCCUUACAAGAUUUUUGCCCAGCGAAAGUGGCACGUGGAACAUGGAAUGACAUUUCAUAAAGAUAAAUCCAGAGAUUAGUGCUGAAGACUACACCCCUGUGUAGUCCCACACAGGCUACCCCAGACCAGCCUGGCGGGCUCUGCACUAGGCCUCCCAUCAGGCGAGAGCCAACGCUCCUCAGCCCGGCUCCACCUCAUUCAGAAGAAAGUGUGUCUCCCGG
rnacentral:lncRNA from 1 species